UAAUAUCACAACUUUUUUAAAAUUUGUCUAGCAGACUCUCUGGUUUUCACCAUAAAACGCCCCA